UUAAGUGACUAAGCGUACACGGUGGAUGCCUAGGCAGUCAGAGGCGAUGAAGGGCGUGCUAAUCUGCGAAAAGCGUCGGUAAGGUGAUAUGAACCGUUACAACCGGCGAUACCCGAAUGGGGAAACCCAGUGUGUUUCGACACACUAUCAUGUCAUGAAUACAUAGUGGCAUGAGGCGAACCGGGGGAACUGAAACAUCUAAGUACCCCGAGGAAAAGAAAUCAACCGAGAUUCCCCCAGUAGCGGCGAGCGAACGGGGAGGAGCCCAGAACCUGAAUCGGCUUGUGUGUUAGUGGAAGCGUCUGGAAAGUCGCGCAGCAAAGGGUGAUAGCCCCGUACACUAAAAUGCACAGGUCGUGAGUUCGAUGAGUAGGGCGGGACACGUGACAUCCUGUCUGAAUAUGGGGGGACCAUCCUCCAAGGCUAAAUACUCCUGACUGACCGAUAGUGAACCAGUACCGUGAGGGAAAGGCGAAAAGAACCCCGGCGAGGGGAGUGAAAUAGAACCUGAAACCGUGUACGUACAAGCAGUGGGAGCACCUUCGUGGUGUGACUGCGUACCUUUUGUAUAAUGGGUCAGCGACUUAUAUUUUGUAGCAAGGUUAACCGUAUAGGGGAGCCGUAGGGAAACCGAGUCUUAACUGGGCGAAUAGUUGCAAGGUAUAGACCCGAAACCCGGUGAUCUAGCCAUGGGCAGGUUGAAGGUUGGGUAACACUAACUGGAGGACCGAACCGACUAAUGUUGAAAAAUUAGCGGAUGACUUGUGGCUGGGGGUGAAAGGCCAAUCAAACCGGGAGAUAGCUGGUUCUCCCCGAAAGCUAUUUAGGUAGCGCCUCGUGAACUCAUCUUCGGGGGUAGAGCACUGUUUCGGCUAGGGGGCCAUCCCGGCUUACCAAACCGAUGCAAACUCCGAAUACCGAAGAAUGUUAUCACGGGAGACACACGGCGGGUGCUAACGUCCGUCGUGAAGAGGGAAACAACCCAGACCGCCAGCUAAGGUCCCAAAGUCAUGGUUAAGUGGGAAACGAUGUGGGAAGGCACAGACAGCCAGGAUGUUGGCUUAGAAGCAGCCAUCAUUUAAAGAAAGCGUAAUAGCUCACUGGUCGAGUCGGCCUGCGCGGAAGAUGUAACGGGGCUAAACCAUGCACCGAAGCUGCGGCAGCGACGCUUAGGCGUUGUUGGGUAGGGGAGCGUUCUGUAAGCCGUUGAAGGUGGCCUGUGAGGGUUGCUGGAGGUAUCAGAAGUGCGAAUGCUGACAUAAGUAACGAUAAAGCGGGUGAAAAGCCCGCUCGCCGGAAGACCAAGGGUUCCUGUCCAACGUUAAUCGGGGCAGGGUGAGUCGACCCCUAAGGCGAGGCUGAAAAGCGUAGUCGAUGGGAAACAGGUUAAUAUUCCUGUACUUGGUGUUACUGCGAAGGGGGGACGGAGAAGGCUAGGCUGGCCGGGCGACGGUUGUCCCGGUUUAAGCGUGUAGGGGGUGUGACCUGGUAAAUCCGGUUACAUAUUAACCCUGAGGCGUGAUGACGAUGCACUACGGUGCAGAAGUAGUUGAUGCCCUGCUUCCAGGAAAAUCCUCUAAGCUCCAGGUAACAUUAAAUCGUACCCCAAACCGACACAGGUGGUCAGGUAGAGAAUACCAAGGCGCUUGAGAGAACUCGGGUGAAGGAACUAGGCAAAAUGGUGCCGUAACUUCGGGAGAAGGCACGCUGGCAUGUAGGUGAAGUCCCUUGCGGAUGGAGCUGAAGCCAGUCGAAGAUACCAGCUGGCUGCAACUGUUUAAUAAAAACACAGCACUGUGCAAACACGAAAGUGGACGUAUACGGUGUGACGCCUGCCCGGUGCUGGAAGGUUAAUUGAUGGGGUCAGCCGCAAGGCGAAGCUCUUGAUCGAAGCCCCAGUAAACGGCGGCCGUAACUAUAACGGUCCUAAGGUAGCGAAAUUCCUUGUCGGGUAAGUUCCGACCUGCACGAAUGGCGUAAUGAUGGCCAGGCUGUCUCCACCCGAGACUCAGUGAAAUUGAACUCGCUGUGAAGAUGCAGUGUACCCGCGGCAAGACGGAAAGACCCCGUGAACCUUUACUAUAGCUUGACACUGAACAUUGAGCCUUGAUGUGUAGGAUAGGUGGGAGGCUUUGAAGCGUGGACGCCAGUCUGCGUGGAGCCAUCCUUGAAAUACCACCCUUUAAUGUUUGAUGUUCUAACUCUGCCCCAUAAUCUGGGGUGAGGACAGUGUCUGGUGGGUAGUUUGACUGGGGCGGUCUCCUCCCAAAGAGUAACGGAGGAGCACGAAGGUUAGCUAAUCACGGUCGGACAUCGUGAGGUUAGUGCAAAGGCAUAAGCUAGCUUGACUGCGAGAGUGACGGCUCGAGCAGGUACGAAAGUAGGUCUUAGUGAUCCGGUGGUUCUGAAUGGAAGGGCCAUCGCUCAACGGAUAAAAGGUACUCCGGGGAUAACAGGCUGAUACCGCCCAAGAGUUCAUAUCGACGGCGGUGUUUGGCACCUCGAUGUCGGCUCAUCACAUCCUGGGGCUGAAGUAGGUCCCAAGGGUAUGGCUGUUCGCCAUUUAAAGUGGUACGCGAGCUGGGUUUAGAACGUCGUGAGACAGUUCGGUCCCUAUCUGCCGUGGGCGUUGGAAGAUUGAGAGGGGUUGCUCCUAGUACGAGAGGACCGGAGUGAACGCACCACUGGUGUUCGGGUUGUCAUGCCAAUGGCAUUGCCCGGUAGCUAAGUGCGGAAAAGAUAAGCGCUGAAAGCAUCUAAGCGCGAAACUUGCCUCAAGAUGAGUCUUCCCUGGGACUUUAAGUCCCCUGAAGGAACGUUUAAGACUAAGACGUUGAUAGGCUGGGUGUGUAAGUGCAGCGAUGCAUUGAGCUAACCAGUACUAAUGAUCCGUGAGGCUUAACCUU
rnacentral:rRNA from 1 species